AUGAAGUCUUCUCUGGUCUAGAAGAGAGGCAUCCGUGAUCUGAGCGGACCUGAAGAUGAAUUUCAGGAUGGUCCCACUAUUGGGCAGUAGAAUGUCUAGGAUAUAAAUGGGGAGGUUGGGAGGGAUGGAAUAUUCUGGUCUGGGAGAGAAGAGGACACCUACUUUUGAUUGGAGAAGACCAAGGAAGGGCUGGAGGUGCCAGGUAGGGGUCAGGAGAAAAUUAAUAAGUGGAUAUGAGGUGAGAAUUGAAGGCAUUUAAGGGUCCGAGGGCAGAAAAAAAGAGAAGAAAGAGGAAAGAAAGAAAGCAGGUUGUCACUUCCUGUCCAGCAUCAUGUCCCAGGAAGUUAGUCCCAGAACCUCAGUGGAUGCACAGCUACAGACAGAUCCUUCUCCUCUGCACAUACAUCAUGUUGUGAUCUGUUUGUCAUCUCUGAGCUCAUCAGACUGCAAGCUUCAAAGGG
rnacentral:lncRNA from 1 species